rnacentral:ncRNA from 1 species
CAACCUCAACUCAUAUGGGACUACCCCCUGAAUUUAAGCAUAUUAAUUAGGGGAGGAAAAGAAACUAACAAGGAUUUUCUUAGUAGCGGCGAGCGAAAAGAAAUCAGUUCAGCACUAAGUCACUUUGUCUAUAUGGCAAAUGUGAGAUGCAGUGUACGGAACAUCAACAUUCUAGUAUGAGAAGUUAACGAUUUAAGUCCUUCUUAAAUGAGGCCAUUUAUCCAUAGAGGGUGCCAGGCCCGUAUAACGUUAAUGAUUACUAGAUGGUUUUCAAAGAGUCGUGUUGCUUGAUAGUGCAGCACUAAGUGGGUGGUAAACUCCAUCUAAAACUAAAUAUAACCAUGAGACCGAUAGUAAACAAGUACCGUGAGGGAAAGUUGAAAAGAACUCUGAAUAGAGAGUUAAAUAGUACGUGAAACUGCUUAGAGGUUAAGCCCGAUGAACCUGAAUAUCCGGUAUGGAAAAUUCAUCAUUAGAAUUGUAAUAUUUUAAACAAUAUUAUAAUAAUAGUGUGCAUUUUUUCCAUAUAAGGACAUUGUAAUCUAUUAGCAUAAAUAUUUAUCAUAAAAUUAUGUCUGAUUGCUUAUUUGAAUUAUAUGCUUGGCAUUUUAACAUAAAAUAAAAGAUAUAAAUUUGAUAAAGUGCUGAUAGAUUUAUAUGAUUACAGUGCGUUAAUUUUUCGGAAUUAUAUAAUGGCAUAAUUAUCAUUGAUACUUGUGUUUAUUAUAUGCAUUUGUAUGAUUAACAAUGCGAAAGAUUCAGGUUACCUUCUGGACCCGUCUUGAAACAUGGACCAAGGAGUCUAACAUAUGUGCAAGUUAUUGGGAUAUAAACCUAAUAGCGUAAUUAACUUGACUAUUAAUGGGAUUAGUUUUUUAACUAUUUAUAGUUCAUUAACGCAAUCCCGGGGCGCUCUUUAUAGUUAUGUAUAAUAAUAUUUAUAUUAUUUAUGCCUCUAACUGGAACGUACCUUGAGCAUAUAUGCUGUGACCCGAAAGAUGGGAACUAUACUUGAUCAGGUUGAAGUCGAGGAAACCCUGAUGGAAACCGAAACAUUUCUAACUGCAAUCGAUUGUCAAAUUGGUAAAGGGGCAAAUAUCACAACCAUCUAUUACUGUUCUU